rfam:Coccomyxa subellipsoidea C-169, whole genome shotgun sequence.
UCUCCCUUAACUCAGUCGGUAGAGUGUGGUGCUUAUGACGCCAAGGUCGCGGGUUCGAGCCCCGCAGGGAGAA